rnacentral:misc_RNA from 1 species
UUUGCAAGAUAUUCUGAACCCAUUCUGCCAGCUAAGUGCCUAUAAUCAGGAUUAGUAGCAAAGAAUUCACGCUCCUGUCUCCUAGCAGCUAUCAUGUCUACAUUUUUAUUGAUAUCAGCCUGCGAGCGGUUCACAAUUCCAACCCAAGGAUGUUGAAGUGAAUAAGCCCUUCCUUCAAGAACAUCUGUAGCAUUUGUUCCUUUGUCCAUCAAGUCAAGCUUUGUCAACACACCAAAUGUCCUUUCA